rnacentral:rRNA from 1 species
UCUGGUAUGAAAGGUUUGACGAGAUAUUAACUGUUUCAUAAAAAUUUAUAAUAGAAUUUUAUUUUUUAGUCAAAAAGCUAAAAUAUAUUUAAAAGACGAGAAGACCCUAUAAAUCUUUAUAUUUAGGUUAUUAUAAUUUUAUAGAUUUUUUUUGUUAUAAUAAUUGAUAAUAUUUUAUUGGGGUGAUAUUAAAAUUUGAUAAACUUUUAAUUGUUUAAAUCAUUAAUUUAUGAAUAAUUGAUCCGUUAUUAGUGAUUAAAAAAAUAAGUUACCUUAGGGAUAACAGCGA